AGAGGUGGAGCCACUGAGGAAGCACA
rnacentral:piRNA from 1 species